CUGAAACAGUAACAGUUCAUCAAAAGACAGUUAUCCCAGAUACGCUUCCAAGAGUGGCAAUCAGUUUUCCUAAAGAGUCAAAGAAAAGAGUGAGAAUUGUGGGAAGUGGGAGACUAGAAGGACAGACUCAUUUGGAAACAGGAAGUGGUUCAAGGAACUUAGGAUUUGGAAUAUAGGAAAAGAAAUGGGGAAACAUACCCAUGCCUUCUCUUCUCUGUAGACAUCCAAUUUGAACCUACUCCAGAUUAGUAGGAAGUAAAAUCAUUAUCUGAUGUUCUGUGGCCACAUGGAAAAUACAUUGGUAGUUGCAACCAGACUAGAGUCAACAUUGAGAAACCAAUAGAACCACUAACUUGGGCUGGUGAGGCACAGCUACUGGUCAAAACCUGCCCAGGAGGCCCAGUACCACUCACAGUCAGGAUCGGGGUCAUGGUAGGGGAAGGUCAGCUAGCUUACUGCAGCCCAUCUCUGAUGGGGAGGUGAGGACUUCCAGCCCUGGGCUGCUCAUUCACCUCCCCUCUGGAGCAGUAAACAGGGAAGUAGCAAGAAGCUAAGCUCCUUUUGUUAGGCAUUGUUAAUUCCUCCAAGGUGACCAUUGAUGUAUUUUUUAUUCAGUAACUUAGCAUAUAUGUGUGUGCACAAUUAAUAGUUAUAUAUAAUAAAAGUGAAUAUAUUAAAAUUUAAAAAAAUAAAUUAUGAUCAUUGCACAAUUCUGUGACUAUACUACAAACCAUUAAAAUGUAUACUUUAAAUGGGUGUUUUUUAUGUUAUUUAUGUGAUUAUGUCUCAAUAAAGAUGUUUUAAAACCAUAAA
rnacentral:lncRNA from 10 species